rnacentral:rRNA from 1 species
AGCGAACGCUGGCGGCAGGCUUAACACAUGCAAGUCGAGCGGGCCCGUCGGGGUCAGCGGCGGAGCGGUGAGUAACACGUGGGAACGUACCCUUUGGUUCGGAAUAACGCUGGGAAACCAUCGCUAAUACCGGAUACGCCCUCUUGGGGAAAGGCUUGCUGCCGAAGGAUCGGCCCGCGUCUGAUUAGCUAGUUGGCGGAGUAAUGGCCUACCAAGGCGACGAUCAGUAGCUGGUCUGAGAGAAUGAUCAGCCACACUGGGACUGAGACACGGCCCAGACUCGUACGGGAGGCAGCAGUGGAGAGUAUUGGACAAUGGACGCAAGCCUAAUCCAGCCAUGCCGCGUGAGUGAUGAAGGCCUUGGGGUUGGAAAGCUCUUUUGUCCGGGAAGAUAAUGACGGUACCGGAAGAAUAAGCCCCGGCUAACUUCGUG